UAGAUGCGAGAGUAGAGCAUAUCAAUAAGCGGAGGAAAAGAAACUAACUAGGAUUCCCUUAGUAACGGCGAGUGAAGCGGGAAGAGCUCAAAUUUGAAAUCUUACAAGGUUUUACCUUGACGAAUUGUAGUUUAAAGAAGUGUUUUCUGUUAGAGGAGUGGUAAAAGUUCUUUGGAAUAGGACAUCAUAGAGGGUGAGAAUCCCGUAUUUGGUCAUUCCUCCUAGCGUUGUGAUACACUUUCAAAGAGUCGGAUUGUUUGGGAAUGCAGUCCAAAAUGGGUGGUAAAUUUCAUCUAAAGCUAAAUAUUGGCGAGAGACCGAUAGCGAACAAGUACCGUGAGGGAAAGAUGAAAAGAACUUUGAAAAGAGAGUUAAACAGUACGUGAAAUUGUCAAAAGGGAAGCGUUUGACACCAGUGUUGUUUUUCCGAAAAUCAAUUACGAAUGUUUUAUUUUUGAGGAGUUAUGACUUCAUCGGCUUGCUCCUUUCUUUACGAAACUUUCUUAAUGCACUUUUCGGUUAACAAGUCAACAUCAAUUUCUUUUGUUGUAAAAGGGUAUGAGGAAGGUGGCUUUCUUUUCGGAGAAAGUGUUUAUAGCCUUGUGCCUCUGCAAUCGGAGAGAUUGAGGUCUGCAGCGUAGAUCCUUCGGGGUUAGAUACAUUUGUGCUAAGUUAUAGCUUUUCAUAGACAACUUGUUGACUAUGAUUAGUCUUGUAGCUUACUCGCUUACGCUAUUUUACCUACGCUUAGGAUGUUGACGAGACUGUCGAUCUC
rnacentral:rRNA from 1 species